UUGAAUAAAAAGCCGAAUUUCGAAUGUUGGAUCGAAAGCGGGGGAACCAUGAAACAUAGGGGUGAAUUCCAUGUCCGGCUGCGGCCGCAUGGAUAGGGUGCCUGUACAUCCGAAUCCGUCAGCUAACCUCGUAGGCUUAUUGCAGGAACCU
rnacentral:sRNA from 2 species